rnacentral:rRNA from 1 species
GACGAACGCUGGCGGCGUGCUUAACACAUGCAAGUCGAGCGAUGAAGUUCCUUCGGGAAUGGAUUAGCGGCGGACGGGUGAGUAACACGUGGGUAACCUGCCUCAUAGAGGGGAAUAGCCUUCCGAAAGGAAGAUUAAUACCGCAUAAGAUUGUAGCUUCGCAUGAAGUAGCAAUUAAAGGAGCAAUCCGCUAUGAGAUGGACCCGCGUCGCAUUAGCUAGUUGGUGAGGUAACGGCUCACCAAGGCGACGAUGCGUAGCCGACCUGAGAGGGUGAUCGGCCACAUUGGGACUGAGACACGGCCCAGACUCCUACGGGAGGCAGCAGUGGGGAAUAUUGCACAAUGGGGGAAACCCUGAUGCAGCAACGCCGCGUGAGUGAUGACGGUCUUCGGAUUGUAAAACUCUGUCUUCAGGGACGAUAAUGACUGUACCUGAGGAGGAAGCCACGGCUAACUACGUGCCAGCCGCCGCCGUAACAC